rnacentral:lncRNA from 1 species
UAGAAAGCUAGCUUUGCCUGUUGAUAGACUAGAUAAUGCUUUAUUAGUCGAAGUAGCUAGUGGCAAGUUUGUACCUGUUAGCCAUCGUAUGAAAAACAUCUUAAUCGACCUUAAUGGGAAUAAGUUUCACGAGGAGUUAUUGCCUAUCGAACUUAAUGGUUUCGACAUCGUCUUGGGAAUGGAUUGGCUUAGCGCCAAUGAUGCCGAAAUUUUAUGCAAGAAGAAGAUAGUUAAAGUAAACCCGCCUGGGAAAGAUUCGUUUAUGGUGUAUGGGGACAAACGCAGAGUGAAUUCUGGAAUCAUUUCUCUAAUGAAAGCCAGAAAGUGUUUGACCAAGGGAUGUACAUCAUAUUUAGCAUUCGUGAUUGAUGCUAAGAAGGAAAAGAAGGUGAUGCAGAGCAUUCCAGUGGUGUGUGAUUAUCCGGAAGUAUUUCCCGAGGAUCUUCCUGGAUUACCACCUGAUAGACAAGUGGAGUUCAGAAUAGACUUGUUACCAGGAACCACGCCAAUAGCAAAAGCACCUUAUCGAUUAGCACCGACGGAGAUGAAGGAGCUGAUGAUGCAACUUCAGGAGUUAUUGGACAAAGGUUUCAUUAGACCUAGUUCAUCGCCCUGGGGAGCUCCGGUGUUAUUUGUAAAGAAGAAAGAUGGAAGUAUGAGAAUGUGCAUCGAUUACAGAGAGCUGAACAAGGCAACAAUAAAGAAUAGAUAUCCGUUGCCGAGGAUUGAUGACCUGUUUGAUCAAUUGCAAGGUUCGAGCUAUUUCUCGAAGAUCGAUCUUAGGUCAGGAUAUCAUCAGCUAAAAGUAAGAGAGCAAGAUAUCGAGAAGACUGCAUUCAGAACUAGAUAUGGACACUACGAGUUCUUGGUUAUGUCGUUUGGACUAACCAAUGCUCCAGCAGCGUUCAUGGAUUUGAUGAAUAGGGUUUGUAAUCCUUUCCUUGAUAAAUCCGUGAUAGUGUUCAUAGACGACAUUCUGAUCUACUCGAAAAGCCAGGAGGAGCAUGGCAGACACUUGCGAGAAGUGUUAGAAGUUUUGAAGAAGGAGAAGCUUUAUGCGAAGUUCUCCAAAUGUGAUUUUUGGAUUCGUGAGGUCCAAUUCUUGGGUCACGUGGUCAACCAAGAAGGGAUAAUGGUUGAUCCAGCGAAGAUCGAAGCUGUGACGAAGUGGGAACAACCGAAAAGUCCCACGGAGAUUCGAAGCUUUUUAGGAUUAGCCGGAUAUUACCGAAGGUUUAUCCAAGGCUUUUCUUCGAUUGCUACUCCAUUAACAGCUUUGACCCACAAAGGAGCUACUUAUGCUUGGAGUGAGAAGCAUAAAGAAGCAUUCGAGAAGUUAAAGAAGAAGCUAUGCGAGGCACCGAUACUUUCUCUACCCGAUGGAGUUGAAGACUUCGCUGUUUAUAGCGAUGCGUCUGGUGUUGGAUUGGGUUGUGUUUUGACCCAAAGAGAAAAGGUGAUAGCAUAUGCGUCUCGACAGCUGAAAGAGCAUGAAAAGAAUUACCCGACUCAUGAUUUGGAGUUGGCAGCGGUAGUUUUCGCUCUGAAAAUAUGGAGGCAUUACCUCUAUGGCACGAAGUGCAAACUUUUCACUGAUCAUAAGAGUCUCCAAUACCUCUUUAAUCAGAAAGAAUUGAAUAUGAGGCAACGACGCUGGCUAGAAUUACUUAAAGACUACGACUGCGAGAUACUUUACCACCCCGGUAAAGCUAAUGUUGUUGCUGAUGCUCUCAGUCGGAAAGUCAAUCUUGAAAGGAAGAGGCCAAGAGCGUUGAGAAUUGAAGUUGUCUCGACUAUUGUGGAAAGUAUAAAGAAAGCUCAAGAGGAAGCUUCUGAGAAAAAUGACCGAAAGGAGGAACGUUUGGGUAAAACGUUGGUGUUUGGUACUAACGGUCAUGGACUGAAGGUAUUCCAAGAUCGUAUUUGGGUACCUAAGUCAGGAGGAAUUAGGGAUCUUCUGAUGGAAGAAGCUCACAAAACCAUGUACUCAAUUCAUCCGGGUAGCACUAAAAUGUAUAGGGACCUGAAACCCUACUACUGGUGGCCGACGAUGAAGCUUGAUGUUGCAAAGUAUGUGGCCGAGUGUGUGACUUGUGCGAGAGUCAAGACACAACAUCAGAAACCUUACGGGAGUUUAGAACCAUUGCCUGUGCCUAUGGGUAAGUGGGAAGACAUUGCUAUGGAUUUUGUCACUAAACUGCCCAGAACAAAGAAUGGUCACGACAUGAUUUGGGUGGUCGUUGAUCGAUUCACUAAGAGUGCGCAUUUCAUAGCGGCCAGGGAGAAAUGGUCUAUGGAAAAGCUUGCGAAUUCUUACGUGAAGGAAAUUGUGAGGCUUCACGGUGUUCCGUUAACGAUUGUAUCGGAUCGUGAUAGCCGUUUCACCUCAAGGUUUUGGAAAAGUCUACAAGAGGAAAUGGGUACCAAGUUAUGUUUAAGCACAGCUUACCAUCCGCAGACUGAUGGUCAGAGUGAAAGAACAAUACAAACACUUGAAGAUAUGCUGAGAGCAUGUACCUUGGAAUUCCUAGGUAAUUGGGAUGAACAUUUACCGUUGGUAGAAUUUUCCUAUAAUAAUAGUUUUCACUCGAGCAUUAAGAUGGCACCUUAUCAAGCUUUGUAUGGACAGAAGUGUCGUACGCCGUCUUGUUGGCUUGAGGCUGGGGAAAAGCAGUUUAUGGGACCGGAGAUGGUUCAUCAAACUGCUGAAAAGUUGAAAAUAAUUAGGGAAAGAAUGUUAGCAGCUCAAGAUCGUCAAAAGAGCUAUGCUGACAAGAAGCGAAGACCGAUGACUUUUGAGGUUGGAGAUUCGGUUUUGCUUAAAGUCUCGCCGUGGAAGGGACUUAUAAGAUUUGGUAAAAGGGGAAAGUUGAGUCCAAGGUUUAUUGGACCGUUUAAAGUCCUUCAGAGGAUUGGGAAUCAAGCUUACAAGCUCGAAUUACCCGAAGAACUGAAUGGAAUUCACAACACCUUUCAUGUGUGUUAUUUGAGGAAGUUCACGGGAGAAGUUCCCGAUAUAAUUCCAAUUUCUGAAUUGAGAAUUGAUGAGAACAAAAGGUUGAUUGAAGAACCAGAGGCAAUUGUUGACCGAAAGACUAAGAAGUUGCGACGCAAAAUGGUUGGGUUAGUGCUUGUCCGAUGGAAACACACGAAUGGGCCGAAUCUCACCUGGGAGACGGAGAGUGACAUGUUGAGUCGCUAUCCGCAUUUGUUUGUUGAUGUGUGAUUCCGGGGACGGAAUCAUUCUAAGGUGGAGAGAAUUGUAACGCCUGUGUUUCCGGGCUUGCCAUUUUUAGCAAUGUAAUAGUCUAGGUUAACCUUUGUAACCCGUUUUGAAAUAAUAAGAUUGUAUUAUUUGAGUAUUAUGUGUUUUGUGCUUAAUUGCUUAAUUAUGUGGUUUGAUUAAUUAAGAAUAAAAAUAAGCGUCAAAAUUUAAGUGUAAAAUAAACUUAAUAUCUUUGGUUAAUGUUGUAGUAGUUGAAACGAGGUUUCCGAAUAUAUAUAGAACGCCCAAAUCUGACUUCGUAUGAGGAAGUUAUGAUUUAUCGAAGUUCCGGCUUAGCGAUAUACAGCCUGUUUUACUCGAUUUGAGAUCGAGCGGUUGUUAGCCGAAGCAAUCUAAAUGAGAAUCGAAGAUCUCAUUGUUGGUAUUGAAACGAUAAAAAGUUAGGCGAGAACGGACGUCAAACGAAGAAGUUAUGAAUUUAUAACGAAAGUUUCUGUCCCGGCCUAUUAAAAAUAAUUAAUAAAAAUAAAGUCAAAAUUAGCCGACGGAGUCUAAACGAAAGUCGUAGAGCGUGGUCUCACCUUCGCGUGGAUAUAAAGAACGUCGAAAACGGAGUUCGUAUGAAGAAGUUAUGAAUUUCCGAAGUUUAUUAAUCAUUUUGUAUUUAUUUUUAAUUCAAAAUUCGGAAGCAUUAUCCGAAGGAGUCACCGAUCUGAUCCGAGGUACGCCCCGCGUACUCGAGUACGCCCCGCGUACUCCGAGGGAUGUCGACACUCGCACUCGAGCACUUCGGAUACGUAAGCAAUGACGUUUUGGGCAGUACGCCCCGCGUAACGCAGUACGCCCCGCGUACUCCGAGGCUCCAGCCUCCUAUAAAUAGGAUGCGAGGGUUCCGGGUAUUUUUGCCAAUUCCCUCUCGUUUUCGUGUCGAAGCUCUGUGCAAAAACCCCCGAAGCUACCCCGAAGUCCCGGUAUCAUACUCUAGCCCCGAGGCAAGUCCCGAGAUCCUGAAGAUCCCGAAAAGUGCGGUUCCCGAGUCGAAGCUCUGCCCGCGAGAAGUUCGAUUUUCGAGAAGAUCUUCCAGAUCUGCUGUGGAUUACUACUUCUAUAAGCCGUAGUGCUGUCCGAUCAUCUUCUGAUCAAGUGAGUGUGUAGUUAUUUCUUCUAAUACAAUAAUACGAAGUAUUUUAUAUAAAAAUACGUGCUAUGUGUAUAUAUUUGGUUGUGUUAUGUGUGAAUGAGUAUUCACUCUCUUCUAUCUUAUAGAUCUGCUUAUUUCUUUAUGAGAUAUGUGUUAUGUGUGUGUGUGCCUCAUCUGUUAUGUGAUAUAUGUGUUGAUUAAAGCAUGCUAUACAGGUUUUCUUUAAACUAUGUAUACAAAUGUAUAUUUUUAUCUACUAAUAUGUUGGGUAGAACAUGGGUAGACAGUUGGUGUGUAAUAAACAGAUGAGAGGCCUCGUUGUUGUUUGAUUGAGUCAUCUAGCGGAGUUUAGAUGACGACCACUGGCUAUUCUAGACAGUCUUGUGGAAACAUUAGCAGGUUCGCCACCUGUAGGUGUUAAUGAACUUGGGUGUUCAUUCGCUGUACUCCAUCCCCCUCAUGGUUGCCUUAUUUGACUUAUAUUGCUGAGGUACCCCCGAAGCAUGUGUUGUCGCCCCGAUGAAAUAUUCUUAGACUAGGUCCCUUAUGUUAGUUGUUUUAGGGACAUUAAAGUGAGAAUAACGGGAAUGGGUAAUUGGGUUAUUGUUGGUUGGUGAAAAUUAAAUAUGAUAUUUAUUGUGGGUUGAAAACCCUAUAUGCUCACCAGGCUCCCAAGCCUGACCCACUCAGUUUUAAAUUGUAUUACAGGUAGUGGCGGAAGGGCAUGAGAUGGAUGAACCAUCAAGUUGUUUUGUUUACAAGUCUGCAUAUGUUUAUAUUUGUUAUAUGACUUGUAAUGUAUUCGUUUAUGCUUAUUGGUCUGUAUCGGAACAUGACACCCCGAGUUUUGAUUAUAAUGAAAAUACAUUUCUUUUAUGAAAUGCUUCGGUAAACAAUGUUUUAUCAUGUUUUGUUUUUGGGAACAAAUUCCGCAACUCUUUCAAAUCAAAAGGAUUUACUCUGAAAAUAUUUAAAAGCAUAAAUGAAAAUCGGUCUUUUCUGGCCGAGAUUUUGGGGAUGUCACAGUUGGUAUCAGAGCAUUAGUUUAAGCGAACUAGGAAUUUGUAGGAUUUCUAGACUUAAACUUAGAAUGCUAAGUGAAGUUUUGAGAUGUGUGUCUGUUGUGAUUUAGACACGAGCACUAGUUUAUUUUAGGAAAGUUGCCUAAAAUGCUUUAUGUGCUAAAUGUUAUAUGUUGCCAUAUAUGAUAUUAUUUGUUCGGAUCUAUGGUCUGUUGCCGACCGGAUCUAGAAACCUUAUGUGUGUAGGAUUCUAAGCGUACGUCUACGAUAUUAGAACUAGCAUGUAAACGUUUCGGAGUGAUAAGGAUGAUUUGAAUAUCUAUCAUGAUUGAGGAUCUAAUUUCACCUUAUUCGGUGUAGAUCAAAAUGGUGAGAACAAGAAGUGGAGUUGGAAAUGCUGACGAAAACAGGAAUCAACCACCAGUGAUUGAGCCAAUACCUGUCGUAGCAGCAGCACCUGAGCCAAUAACCAUGGCUGGUGUGCAAUUGAUGAUUCAGACGAUGUUGGAUCGUCAGAUGGAUGAAACUAGACGGUUGCUUCAACAAAAUCGUGAAGAACUGUCGAUUCGUGUGGAAGAGCCUGAACUGAAUGAAGGGCACUCGGAAGGUGGAAACUUCAGUGGGUCUGUUGGUCCAGCCAACCCACCGAUAGUUAGGCAAGAUAACCAUGAUGGAAGGAAUGAUGGAAUGGGAUGCAAGUACAAGGACUUUUUGACUUGUAAACCAUCGACCUUCAAUGGAAAGGAGGAUCCGAUUGGGGUUAUGGAUUGGAUCUCCGAAAUGGAGUUAGCCUUUAUGACAUGUGGCUGUAGAGGCAAGUUGCAGACUAUCUAUGCCGUGCGACAAUUCCGAGGUGGAGCCGUUCGUUGGUGGAACACUCUAGGGAAGACCUUAAGCCCUAAUGAGCCACUGCAAUUGUCAUGGGCAGAGUUCUUGGUGCAGUUCAAGCGCAAGUUCUGCUCGGCUCAAAAUCUGUUGGAGUUGGAGAACAAGUUUUUGACAUUGACGAAGGGUAGCAUGUCAGUGGAUGAGUACACCAAUAACUUCACCGAUAAGAUGGAGUUUGCCUUGCGUAUCGUUCCAGACGAGCUGACAAAGGUGGAUCGGUAUGCGAAGGGACUUCCAUGGGAGUACGAGGUGCCGGUACGUCAGGCACUUACUCUAGAGGCAGCUAUCUGGGCUGCCAAGUCUGUGGAGAACAUGAUCAAGGGGAGAACCACCGUCAAGGUUGAGGUUGGUGAGAAAAGGAAGUUUGAAGGAACAUCUGGUUCCAGUAAGAAGAGCAAAUUUUCGAAAUCUGAUUCGAAAAAGUUUGGAGGAAAAGGAGGCGAAGCAAAGUGGUGUGAUAAGUGUAAGAAAAAGCACUUUGGGAAAUGUAGCGAGGAUGUGACCUGCUACAAGUGUGGAAAGGUUGGACAUUUUGCCAAUGAAUGUCCGAACAACAAAAGGAUGUGUUUUGGGUGUAAUGAAGAGGGGCAUAUUUUGAAAGACUGUCCGAAGAAGAAGGAGGCAGCUAGGCCCAACAUUCCACCAAAGCCGAAGGCGAGAGCCUUCCAGAUGACACUUGAGGCUGCGAAAGAUGAAGCUGAUGUCGCUUCAGGUACCUUUCUCGUAAACGAAUUACCUGCUCAUAUAUUGUUUGAUUCUGGAGCCAACUACUCCUUUAUUUCGCAUGAGUUUGGUAGAAAGCUAGCUUUGCCUGUUGAUAGACUAGAUAAUGCUUUAUUAGUCGAAGUAGCUAGUGGCAAGUUUGUACCUGUUAGCCAUCGUAUGAAAAACGUCUUGAUCGACCUUAAUGGGAAUAAGUUUCUCGAGGAAUUAUUGCCUAUCGAACUAAAUGGUUUCGACAUCGUCUUGGGAAUGGAUUGGCUUAGCGCCAAUGAUGCCGAAAUUUUGUGCAAGAAGAAGAUAGUUAAAGUAAACCCGCCUGGGAAAGAUUCGUUUAUGGUGUAUGGGGACAAACGCAGAGUGAAUUCUGGAAUCAUUUCUCUAAUGAAAGCCAGAAAGUGUUUGACCAAGGGAUGUACAUCAUAUUUAGCAUUCGUGAUUGAUGCUAAGAAAGAAAAGAAGGUGAUGCAGAGCAUUCCAGUGGUGUGUGAUUAUCCGGAAGUAUUUCCCGAGGAUCUUCCUGGAUUACCACCUGAUAGACAAGUGGAGUUCAGAAUAGACUUGUUACCAGGAACCACGCCAAUAGCAAAAGCACCUUAUCGAUUAGCACCGACGGAGAUGAAGGAGCUGAUGAUGCAACUUCAGGAGUUAUUGGACAAAGGUUUCAUUAGACCUAGUUCAUCGCCCUGGGGAGCUCCGGUGUUAUUUGUAAAGAAGAAAGAUGGAAGUAUGAGAAUGUGCAUCGAUUACAGAGAGCUGAACAAGGCAACAAUAAAGAAUAGAUAUCCGUUGCCGAGGAUUGAUGACCUGUUUGAUCAAUUGCAAGGUUCGAGCUAUUUCUCGAAG